UCUAAGAUUAAUGAUUCAAUACAGCAGCUAUCUACAAAAGUGGGUGAGACGAACUGUAAGGUUGAAGAGACCAAUCAGAAAGUGGAUAUUGCAAACAGGAAAAUUGACCUAAAUACAGAAACAUUAGGUAAUCUGGAGAAAAAAGUAAAUAGCAAUACGGAAUCUAUUCAGAAACUGCUGCAAGACUCAAAGUCUAUACAGGAAAAAACUGCUGCUGUAGAGUUCAAAUUGGGGCAGUUGGAAACUGAAAAAGUACCAGACUUACAGAAAGAGAUUGCAGAACAUAAGUUAACGUUAUCUAUGAUUGACCUCAAAGACAAACAAACGAAUCUUAGAAUCAGAGCUGUUCCUGAGUUGGAGAAAGGUACUUUGAUAGACUUUUUGACACAAGAAUUUCUGGACUUUUGGAAAUCGGAAUUGAAACAAGAGGAUUUUAAGAUUGUGAGGGCCUUUCGACUGGGGAAAGGAGGAAGAAAGAUUAAAAUAAGGGACUGUUUGAUUACUCUUCGAUCUAAGGAAGAAAGGGACAAAAUUUUGGGUUUACAUUACGAAAAACCCUUGACAAUUAUACAAUCAAAAGUUGAAAUUUUUAAAGAUAUACCAAAACAUCUUCUUGAUUUAAGAAAGGACUUUGGAGACCUGGUGGACUUGUUGAGAAAAAAUAAAAUUCUCUUUAGGUGGGAAUUUCCCCAAGGUCUAUCCUUUAGCUUUAAAGGAAGAAAGACCAAGAUCAGAUCAGUGGAGGAAAAGAACAAGUUUCUGAGUGCAUACGAAGAAGACCUACUGAAAGGAUUGGGAAAAGACAUCGCGAUACCGGACAAGAGUCUGCAAAAAAAAGGGAAACCAACGCCACCGACAGACAUAGACAACCUUCUUGGGGCUGCUGGAGGAGAAGGAGAGUAGUUACAAAAUGACACUACAAAUUUUAAGCUGGAAUAUUAAUGGCCUAAAUUCGUCGGCUAAAAGGGGAAGAGUAUUUCAUACAUUGAAAAAAGAACAUUUGGACUUGAUCUGUUUACAAGAGACUCAUGUGACAAGGCUACAUCGGAAAAUUUUGACAAAUAAAAGAUUGGGAGAGGAAUUCAUCUCAUCGGACAAUGUUAAAAAAAGAGGGGUAGUACUUUAUGCGAAGGAAAGCCUGUCACCAAAAUUUAUAUUUAAAGAUGAUCAAGGAAGAUAUAUAGCAAUUGAAAUUCAAUUCCAAGGACAGAAAUUUUUGAUAAUAGGUGUAUACGCACCAAAUGAGGGAAAAUCAGAAUUCUUCAAGAAAUUGCAUGAAACUCUCCUGGACUAUUUGGAUUACAAUAUUAUUUUGAUGGGAGACAUGAAUGGAGUAGUGUCUACAAAUAUGGACAAAGCCCAAAGACAAACAGUGACAAAAGAUGGAAGAUUACCAAAGACAUUUUUGAAAUGACUGACAAUAUGGAUCUUGUGGAUAUUUGGCGAACAAAGAACCCCUUGGAAAGAGAAGGAACCUUCUUCUCUGAAGCAAAUAUGACAUGGACAAGAAUAGACCAAAUCUGGAUAACUAGAGGACUGGCUCCUAAAAUUAAAAAAGCAGUGAUUUGCCCGAAAAUCUGCUCUGAUCACAAUCCAGUAAAGAUUGAAAUGAUAUCAACGCCAAUUGGGGCCUUUAGAUGGAGGAUGAAUGACUCCUUAUUCAGGAAUGAGGAAAUUAUUAAAAAGGCUCAAAAAAAUUUGAGAGACUAUUUUGAAAUAAAUUUGAAUACUACGACAGAAAAAAAGAGUGAUUUGGGAUGCCAGUAAAGCGGUGAUGAGAGGAUUCUUGAUACAACAAAACGCAAUUAGGAAAAGAUAUCAAAAUAAGAAGAGAGAAAAAUUUUGGAGAAAAUAAAGGAUGGAGAAAAAGACUGAGAGCGAAACCGAACUCACAGGAGAUUUUAAAAGAGAUAAAGCUAUACCAAGUACAAUAUAUGAAAUUGAUGAAUCAGGAGAUAGAAUGGAAGAUUAAACAGAUGAAACAAAAGACUUUCGAAUCGGCAAAUAAAUGUGGGAAGUUACUGGCCUGGCAAAUGAAAAAAAGACAAAAGCUGAAUACAAUCACGAACUUGGUUGUAGAAGGAAAGAAUAUACAGAACCCUGGAGAGAUUCGGAAGUGCUUUCAGAAUUAUUUCAAACAGUUAUAUACGCAGGAGACUCAGAAAGAUCUAGACAUUGACCGAUUUUUGGAAAAUAAUGGAUUACAAAAAUAUCUCAAGACAGUAAAUCAACAUUAAACUCGACAAUAUCUGACCAAGAAGUGGAAGGAGCCAUUCAGAAUAUGAAAUUGGGCAAAUCUCCAGGGCCGGAUGGAUUAACUGCAAAGUACUACAAAACUUUGAAAGAAUGGUUAUUGCAACCGUUGAAAGAACUUUGUAAUGAAAUACUACGGGGAGGAAAAGCACCCGAGUCGUGGAAAGAAGCAUACAUUACACUUAUACCAAAAACCGAAGGGGAGAAGACACAGUUGAAGAACUACCGUCCCAUAUCCCUAUUAAAUGUGGAUUACAAAAUUUUUGCUGAAAUUAUGGCUAAGAGAUUAAAAAACGUAUUGGUAAAAGAGAUUCAUAAAGACCAGGCGGGCUUUCUACCUGGGAGACAUUUGUCAGACAAUACUAGGAACAUCAUUAACAUUUUGGAAAAAUUGCAAGUCAACAUUAAUACUAAAGCUGUUUUAAUAUUUGUAGAUGCAGAGAAAGCGUUUGAUAAUAUUUCUUGGAGCUUUAUGAAGAAAAAUCUGCAGGGGAUGGGGGUAGGCCAAAGUUUCGAAAAUGGUAUAGGUGCAAUUUAUUCGGAACAAAAAGCUAAGCUUAUUGUGAACAAUGUAGUUACAGAAGAAUUUAAGAUAGAGAAAGGAACAAGACAGGGCUGCCCAAUCUCCCCAUUGCUUUUUAUAUCGGUCCUCGAGGUUUUGCUCAAUAUGAUUAGAAAAGACCAAUUGGUUAAAGGUAUACAACUCGGAGCUAAACAGUACAAAUUGAAAGCUUUUGCUGAUGAUUUAGUCUUGACAGUACAGGAGCCAGAAGCUAGUACAAAAGAGUGUUACAAUUAAUACAAGAAUUUGGUCAAGUAGCUGGUUUUAAAUUAAACAAGAUGAAAACCAAGGUAUUAGAGAAAAAUCUUACAGAGAUAGAGAAGGAGAGGUUUCAGAAAGAGACAGGAUUAACAAUUGUUAACAAAGUGAAAUAUCUAGGGGUGAAUAUGACUGCCAAAAAUGUGAAUCUGUUUAAAGAUAAUUAUGAAAAAUGUUGGUCAGAGGUGAAGAAGGAUUUAGAAAUAUGGUCAAAAUUGAAGUUAUCAUUGCUGGGCCGAAUUGCUGCGAUAAAGAUGAAUGUAUUGCCUAGAAUGUUGUUUUUGUUUCAAACACUACAAAUUGUGGAUAAAAUGGACUGUUUCAAGAGGUGGCAAAGAGAUAUUUCUAAAUUUAUCUGGCAGGGCAAAAAGCCCAGAAUAAAAUUUAAGAUAUUAACAGAUGCAAAGGAAAGAGGGGGAUUUGCCCUGCCAGAUCUUAAACUUUACUAUGAAUCAGCCGCUUUUUGUUGGCUGAAAGAUUGGCUACUUCUUGAAAAUGUGGACAUUUUAGAUUUAGAAGGUUUCGAUAAUGUGUUUGGGUGGCAUGCAUAUUUAUGGUAUGACAAAGUUAAAGCGCAUAAGGCCUUCAAGAAUCAUAUUGUCAGGAAAGCAUUAUUUAAUGUUUGGGUGAGAUAUAAGGAUUUGUUGGAAAGUAAAACACCAAGGUGGCUGUCACCAAUGGAGGCUAAGGCUUUGAAAAAAACAAACAUGGAGACAAAUUGGCCAAAAUAUUGCGAAAUUUUAGAACAAGUCGGAGAUAAAUUAAAAUUGCAGAGCUUUGACAAAUUAAAAACUAAAGUUCGAGAUUGGCUGCAUUAUUAUCAAAUAAGGGAGGUUUUUAACUUAGAUAAAAGAUAGGUUUCCAGGAGGAAAAAUCUAAACUGGAAACGGAAUUGUUAGAACCUAAAACCAAAAAUUUGUCAAGAAUGUAUAAUCUGCUGUUGAAAUGGAAUACACAGGAUGAAAUGGUUAAAUCUGCUAUGAUUAAAUGGGCGCAAGAUGUGGGGCAUAAUAUUAUGUUUGCUGACUGGGAACGGUUAUGGACCACAGGUAUGAAAUUUACGGCCUGUAACGCCUUAAGAGAAAACAUAAUGAAAAUGAUAUACAGGUGGUACUUAACCCCAGUCAAGCUAGCAAAAAUUUAUCAUCUGCCUGAUAAUAAAUGUUGGAAAUGUAAAGAAAAUGAAGGUACUUUUUCCACCUUUGGUGGACGUGCCCAAAGAUCAAGGCCUUCUGGGAAAUGAUAUAUAAUGAACUAAAAAAGGUAUUGAAAUAUACUUUCUUGAAGAAACCAGAGGCCUUCCUCUUGGGCAUGGUCGGCCAAUUGGUGCGAAGGGAAGACAGGAAUUUCUUUAUGUAUGCGACAGCAGCGGCAAGAAUACUCAUUGGGAAAUACUGGAAGACACAAGAAUUGCCUACCCGAGAAGAAUGGCAGAGAAAAGUGAUAGACUAUAUGGAACUGGCUGAGAUGACCGGCAGAAUACGAGACCAAGAAGAAGGGUCGAUGGAAGAAGAUUGGAAAAAAUUUAAAACAUAUCUUCAGAAAUACUGUAAUAUAAAAGAAUGCUAGAAAAGGUUGGAGAAGAACAUUAGACCGUAUUGGCAGACAGAGUAUAAUGGAAUAAGUAAAUAUGUAGUGUAAAAUAAAAAAUAGAGGAGAAUUAAAUAUUUUUGAAUGUUAAAUUAAGUAAAUGAAAAGAAGGUUAGAAGGGUUUGCUGGAGAUACGACUUAAAUUAGAAUACAAAGCAGAGAAGUGAGAGGAAGUCUUGGAAAUAAGUAAAUGGGAAAAUGAUCUUAAUGGUUUAAUUUGAUUUUUUGUUAUUUUUGUAUUGUGAUUUUUUGUCUUUUGUAUUUUUUUCUGUAUCGUGUGUUGUUCUUUUUUUUGUAGGGUGUAUGUGAUUUGUUUUUCUUUUUUUGCUUUUUUCUUUCUAUGUAAUCUUAAAAUUGGAAUAAAUAUUCUUUAAAAAAAAAAA
rnacentral:lncRNA from 1 species